rnacentral:rRNA from 1 species
CAGCAGCCGCGGUAAUACGAAGGGUGCAAGCGUUAACCGGAAUUAUUGGGCGUAAAGGGCUCGCAGGCGGUUUCUUAAGUCUGAUGUGAAAGCCCCCGGCUCGACCGGGGAGGGUCAUUGGAAACUGGGAAACUUGAGUGCAGAAGAGGAGAGUGGAAUUCCACGUGUAGCGGCGAAAUGCGUAGAGAUGUGGAGGAACACCAGUGGCGAAGGCGACUCCCUGGUCUGUAACUGACGCUGAGGCGCGAAAGCGUGGGGAGCAAACAGGAUUAGAUACCCCCGUAGUCCCUGUCUCUUAUAC